rnacentral:rRNA from 1 species
GACGUAGGGCGCGAGCGUUGUCCGGAUUUAUUGGGCGUAAAGAGCUCGUAGGCGGCUUGUCGCGUCGACCGUGAAAACUUGGGGCUCAACUCCAAGCUUGCGGUCGAUACGGGCAUGACUGGAGUUCGGCAGGGGAGACUGGAAUUCCUGGUGUAGCGGUGAAAUGCGCAGAUAUCAGGAGGAACACCGGUGGCGAAGGCGGGUCUCUGGGCCGAUACUGACGCUGAGGAGCGAAAGCGUGGGGAGCGAACAGG